rnacentral:rRNA from 1 species
AUACGUAGGGGGCGAGCGUUGUCCGGAACGACUGGGCGUAAAGGGCGUGUAGGCGGCGGUGUAAGUCUGGAGUGAAAGUCCCGCAUUCCAUGUGGGAAUUGCUUUGGAUACUGCAGUGCUAGAGUGCGGAAGAGGUAAGUGGAAUUCCCAGUGUAGCGGUGAAAUGCGUAGAGAUUGGGAGGAACACCAGUGGCGAAGGCGACUUACUGGGCCGUAACUGACGCUGAGGCGCGAAAGCGUGGGGAGCGAACAGGAUUAGAUACCCUGGUAGUCCACGCGGUAAACGAUGAAUGCUAGGUGUUGCGGGUAUCGACCCCUGCAGUGCCGGAGUAAACACAAUAAGCAUUCCGCCUGGGGAGUACGGCCGCAAGGUUGAAACUCAAAUGAAUUGACGGGG